ACUGCUUCUUGACCUCUUGGCUACAAUCAAAUGUAGUAUCUGCUCUCAUUAUCUAAAUGUAUGAUACAUCCACUAGCCAGGACAAUAUCUUAAAUAAGUUGUUGGAACUGGGAGAUGGAGUGGUGGACUAAGGAGCUUCUUACAUCUACUCUGUGAAUGGACCUGAAAUUGCAGUAUUUCUACAAAUAGUAUAACCACU